rnacentral:rRNA from 1 species
ACUCACGCUGGCGGCGUGCUUAACACAUGCCAGUCGAACGGAAAGGCCCUGCUUUUGUGGGGUGCUCGAGUGGCGAACGGGUGAGUAACACGUGAGUAACCUGCCCUUGACUUUGGGAUAACUUCAGGAAACUGGGGCUAAUACCGGAUAGGAGCUCCUGCUGCAUGGUGGGGGUUGGAAAGUUUCGGCGGUUGGGGAUGGACUCGCGGCUUAUCAGCUUGUUGGUGGGGUAGUGGCUUACCAAGGCUUUGACGGGUAGCCGGCCUGAGAGGGUGACCGGCCACAUUGGGACUGAGAUACGGCCCAGACUCCUACGGGAGGCAGCAGUGGGGAAUAUUGCACAAUGGGCGGAAGCCUGAUGCAGCAACGCCGCGUGCGGGAUGACGGCCUUCGGGUUGUAAACCGCUUUCGCCUGUGACGAAGCGUGAGUGACGGUAAUGGGUAAAGAAGCACCGGCUAACUACGUG